rnacentral:rRNA from 1 species
AGUGAACGCUGGUGGUAGGCCUAACACAUGCAAGUCGAACGGCAGCACAGUAAGAGCUUGCUCUUACGGGUGACGAGUGGCGGACGGGUGAGGAAUACAUCGGAAUCUACUUUUUCGUGGGGGAUAACGUAGGGAAACUUACGCUAAUACCGCAUACGACCUACGGGUGAAAGCAGGGGAUCUUCGGACCUUUCGCGAUUGAAUGAGCCGAUGUCGGAUUAGCUAGUUGGCGAGGUAAAGGCCCACCAAGGCGACGAUCCGUAGCUGGUCUGAGAGGAUGAUCAGCCACACUGGAACUGAGACACGGUCCAGACUCCUACGGGAGGCAGCAGUGGGGAAUAUUGGACAAUGGGCGCAAGCCUGAUCCAGCCAUACCGCGUGGGUGAAGAAGGCCUUCGGGUUGUAAAGCCCUUUUGUUGGGAAAGAAAAGCAGCAGGUUAAUACCCCGCUGUUCUGACGGUACCCAAAGAAUAAGCACCGGCUAACUUCGUG